UCCCUGGAGGACUAGUGGUUAGGCCUUGGCGUUCUCACUGCCGCGGCCUGGGUUUGAUUCCCGGCCAGGGAA
rnacentral:tRNA from 1 species